CCUACGGGUGGCUGCAGUGAGGAAUAUUGGUCAAUGAGCGGGAGCCUGAACCAGCCAAGCCGCGUGAAUGAAGAAGUCGCCAGGCGUCGUAAACUUCUUUUGUCGGGGAACAAAGGGCGCCACGUGUGGCGAUGUGAGUGUACCCGACGAAAAAGCAUCGGCUAACUCCGUGCAAGCAGCCGCGGUAAUAAGGCGGAUGCGGGCGUUAUCCGGAUUUCUUGGGGUUCAAGGGCGCGUAGGCGGUCCGGAAAGUCAGCGGUAAAAGACCGGGGCUCAACCCCGGCGAGCCGUUGAAAGUGUCGGACUAGAGACGGCGAGAAGUACGCGGAAUGCGCGGUGUAGCGGUGAAAUGCAUAGAUAUCGCGCAGAACUCCGAUUGCGAAGGCAGCGUACCGGCGCCGGACUGACGCUGAGGCACGAAAGCGUGGGUAUCGAACAGGAUUAGAUACCCCUGUAGUC
rnacentral:rRNA from 1 species